rnacentral:rRNA from 1 species
UACGAAAGGGGCUAGCGUUGCUCGGAAUGACUGGGCGUAAAGGGCGCGUAGGCGGCUUACAUAGUUAGGCGUGAAAUUCCUGGGCUCAACCUGGGGACUGCGUCUAAUACAUGUAGGCUUGAGUGUGAAAGAGGGUCGUGGAAUUUCCAGUGUAGAGGUGAAAUUCGUAGAUAUUGGAAAGAACACCGGUGGCGAAGGCGGCGACCUGGUUCAUUACUGACGCUGAGGCGCGAAGGCGUGGGGAGCAAACAGG